rnacentral:ncRNA from 1 species
UAGCCCUGAAAAUGGAUGGCACUGAUGCAAUUUUAUCUGGUCAAGUGAAUGAUUAGAAGUCUUUGGGCCAAAAUGAUUUCAACCUAUUCUCAAAUUGUAUAUGGGUAAGAAGCCUAGUUUGCUGGCUCAGAGCUAGAUAUGGAAUGUGAGUGCCUACUGGGCCACUUUUGGUAAGCAGAACUGGUGCUGUGGGAUGAACUGAAUGCUGGGAUAAAGUGCCCAAUGCUGAUACUUAUCAGACUCCUUUUUAAACUGUUUUCCUUCCUUCCUUCCUUCCUUCCUUCCUUCCUUCCUUCCCCUCUACCUGAAAUGCGAAGAAAG